CGUCUCAGCCCCGCCCCCAGUCCACGGCGGCCCCAGAUUCUGCAGGGCUCCCCGGUGCGGAUCUCUGCCGUCUCGCUCGUUUCCUUCUUUUUGUCCUUGGUCACCGUGGUGGAGUUAAAUGGCAAGCUGAGGCAUCCGAAACGCACCUCCCUAGCACACCCUCCCUGGACCGUCUAGACACCACUUCCCACCGAGAAGGAAAGGGCAGUUGGGGUGGCUGUCGCUACGAGCGCCAUCUUUCACGUGGGCGGAACUCGUCUCUGCAGGACGCGCCGCGGUUCCCUCGUGGGACUCCGCAUCUAAGCAUAACUGUCAUCUGAGAGACUUCACGAGCACCUGAUGGAAAUAGAUGCAGAAACCUACAGCCAAACAUUAUGUGGAGCUUGGGCAACUCCACGGAAGAUGGGAGGAGAAUUAAAGGA
ensembl:processed_transcript Gm12367 predicted gene 12367